rnacentral:lncRNA from 1 species
GGCCAGGAGGGGCAAGCAAAGGUAAAGGGGAGGACAUUAGCUGAGCCCUGGCCCACAGGUUCCACCAGCAAGUGUGCAGCCACCUUCACCUGUUCUUCCUGAUUGGAGAUAAACAGGCCCACAAGCAGCUGCCCUCCACCCUUUUCCUGAGGCUCCUUCAACUGGCCACUGCCAGCAUUGACCGCUAUGAACCCUGGGACCAAGCUGCCCUGGUCAAGGUGGCCCAGCAUCACCUGGAGGGUGCUCAGAGUGUACCCCUUGAUGACGGAUCCAGCAUGCCUUGGAGAAUCUGAGAAUGCUGACUAAGGAGCACGGUACCCAUGCCAAUCUGAUCUUUGACUUGGAACAGCAGCUGAAAGACUCCGGCAAGAGUCUCAGCAUGUUUCAGCAGCAGCUAGAGCAAAGCAAGCUCCUACACAAGCAGCAGCUGGAAGAGUGUCGGCAUCAAGAGAACCUCAUUGAGAACCUGGCCAGGCAACGGGAUGCCCUGCAAGCUCAGCAAGAGGCUUUCCUGGAGCAGAUGAGCAAGGCAUUUCUGGAGCCUCUGAGCCAGCUGCAGAUGGCUGACUUUGAGGAGAUACGGAGCUAUCGAGCACCACCAGAAUCUGUGGUCCGGGUGACUGAUGCAAUGUGUGACUUGUUCCACCAUGAAACAGG